GCGGACUUAGCUCAGCUGGCAGAGCGCGAGCUUCCCAAGCUCGAGGUCGCGGGUUCGAUCCCCGUAGUCCGCU
rnacentral:tRNA from 1 species